ACACGAAGAAGGCAGCAGAGAUGCCAGCCAGCCGCCCAAGGAGCAACAUGUAAUGGGACUCAGUCAUGAAGAUUUCCAUCUUCCAGUUUGGAUUUCUGUGUGUGUGCUGGACUCCAUGAGUGGUGAAUGAUGGUAUCAGUGGUUCCCAUGGACCUUGGCCCUCCAAAUCACUCUAAAGAUACUCCCCAACUUUUAAGCAGGGUAAGAAGAGGAAAGAAUCAGAAAGAUGACAUGCAGAGGAAGCACAGAAAAAACAGAGUCAAUUCUGGAGAGAAAGCAAGCCAUGCAUUGUGAUGAGCCCAGUGUCAUGUGUACCGCCUUCACGUUUCCAAUGCACACAGCCAUGGAAAGUAUUGUAAGAAGACAGUCUUAACUUAUUCUAGCCCUAUAUUAUUUAAGAUAGGAGACCUUCUCAUCAGGAAUACCCAUAUUCAUAUUGCUUCCCUUGAUUUCUGUCUCUGUGUGGCCUUGCAUAGUUAAGUACAGUAAAGGGAGAGCAAAUAAAACAAAUGAAAGUAACCGGCUAAUGUGUGCAGGACCUCAGCACACUGGAAGAGUGUUGUGUGAAAGACGGCAUUGGAGCUGGGGACUGGGCAAGGCACUCGGACUGGACUGCAGCUGGCAGAACCACCAUCCUUGAACAGAGGUCAGGAGAGGAUAACAGGAGAUAG